rnacentral:rRNA from 1 species
UAGGGGACGGAAAAUCUGAUGGAGCAACGCCGCGUGAGUGAAGAAGGGUUUCGGCUCGUAAAACUCUGUUGUUAAAGAAGAACAUAUCUGAGAGUAACUGUUCAGGUAUUGACGGUAUUUAACCAGAAAGCCACGGCUAACUACGUGCCAGCAGCCGCGGUAAUACGUAGGUGGCAAGCGUUGUCCGGAUUUAUUGGGCGUAAAGCGAGCGCAGGCGGUUUUUUAAGUCUGAUGUGAAAGCCUUCGGCUCAACCGAAGAAGUGCAUCGGAAACUGGGAAACUUGAGUGCAGAAGAGGACAGUGGAACUCCAUGUGUAGCGGUGAAAUGCGUAGAUAUAUGGAAGAACACCAGUGGCGAAGGCGGCUGUCUGGUCUGUAACUGACGCUGAGGCUCGAAAGUAUGGGUAGCAAACAGGAUUAGAUACCCCCGUAGUCCUUUU